GAUGAAGAACGUAGCGAAAUGCGAUAAGUAAUGUGAAUUGCAGAAUUUAGUGAAUCAUCGAAUCUUUGAACGCAUAUUGCGCCCGCCAGCACUCUGGCGGGCAUGCCUGUUCGAGCGUCAUUUCAACCAUCAAGCCCCAGCGCUUGUGUUGGGGGCCUGCGGCUGCCGCAGCCCCCCAAAAGCAGUGGCGGGCUCGCUAUCACACCGAGUGCAGUAGUUCAUCUUCUCUCCGGUCUUGUGAGGCGGGUUCCGGCCGUGAAACACCCCACUACAUUCAAGGUUGACCUCGGAUCAGGUAGGAAUACCCGCUGAACUUAAGCAUAUCAAUAAGCGGAGGA
rnacentral:misc_RNA from 1 species